rnacentral:rRNA from 1 species
UGGGGAAUAUUGGACAAUGGGCGAAAGCCUGAUCCAGCCAUGCCGCGUGUGUGAAGAAGGUCUUCGGAUUGUAAAGCACUUUAAGUUGGGAGGAAGGGCAGUAAGCGAAUACCUUGCUGUUUUGACGUUACCGACAGAAUAAGCACCGGCUAACUCUGUGCCAGCAGCCGCGGUAAUACAGAGGGUGCAAGCGUUAAUCGGAAUUACUGGGCGUAAAGCGCGCGUAGGUGGUUCGUUAAGUUGAAUGUGAAAGCCCCGGGCCCAACCUGGGAACUGCAUCCAAAACUGGCGAGCUGGAGUAGGGCAGAGGGUGGUGGAAUUUCCUGUGUAGCGGUGAAAUGCGUAGAUAUAGGAAGGAACACCAGUGGCGAAGGCGACCACCUGGGCUCAUACUGACACUGAGGUGCGAAAGCGUGGGGAGCAAACAGG